AGUACUAGGAUGGGUGACCUCCCGGGA
rnacentral:snRNA from 1 species